CCUACGGGAGGCAGCAGUGAGGAAUAUUGGUCAAUGGCCGUAAGGCUGAACCAGCCAAGCCGCGUGAAGGAAGAAGGAUCUAUGGUUUGUAAACUUCUUUUAUAGGGGAAUAAAGGUAUCCACGUGUGGAUAUUUGCAUGUACCCUAUGAAUAAGCAUCGGCUAACUCCGUGCCAGCAGCCGCGGUAAUACGGAGGUUGCGAGCGUUAUCCGGAUUUAUUGGGUUUAAAGGGAGCGUAGGUUGUUUUUUAAGUCAGCGGUGAAAGUUUGUGGCUCAACCAUGAAAUUGCCGUUGAAACUGGAAGAUUGGAGUGUGUGAGAGGUAGGCGGAAGGCGGGGUGUAGCGGUGAAAUGCAUAGAUAUAACGAAGAACACCGAUUGCGAAGGCGGCUUACUGGACCGUAACUGACGGUGAGGCACGAAAGCGUGGGGAUCAAACAGGAUUAGAUACCCUAGUAGUC
rnacentral:rRNA from 1 species